rnacentral:rRNA from 1 species
AUGUGUAAGACGUGCUCAUCGUCGCAUAGAUCGCAAGGACCCCACUUAGCUCCCAUUCCCAUCUCCUUGCCGGUUUCCCUAUCCUCGCCGUGCCCCAUGGUACAAAAUGGAAAGAGAUCUCUGCUCGCAAUUGACAACGCGGGUCUUGUACCCACGGUCAUGACCAUAAUCGCACAAGGACACGUGCUCACACCGGGAGAUGAGGAAAUGGACGGGGCUCAAGUAAACUCCCACCUUCCAAAGACACCCCUUGAGGCCAUGCAACCAUAUUUGAAUGUCCAUUGUCGCAGAUGUCUCCUAUUCUCAUGGUUUCAUAUAUAUCUCUGGUUCUCCUCGGUGUGUGUGAUUUUAACCUAUUUCAUAUGCUAA